AGGGAAUCUUCCACAAUGGGCGAAAGCCUGAUGGAGCAACGCCGCGUGGGUGAAGAAGGUCUUCGGAACGUAAAACCCUGUUGUUAGAGAAGAAAGUGCGUGAGAGUACCUGUUCACGUNUCUACGGUAGCUAACCAGCAAGCCACGGCUACCUACGUGCCGGCAGCCGCGGUAAUACGUAGGUGGCAAGCGUUAUCCGGAUUUAUUGGGCGUAAAGGGAACGCAGGCGGUCUUUUAAGUCUGAUGUGAAAGCCUUCGGCUUAACCGGAGUAGUGCAUUGGAAACUGGGAGACUUGAGUGCAGAAGAGGAGAGUGGAACUCCAUGUGUAGCGGUGAAAUGCGUAGAUAUAUGGAAGAACACCAGUGGCGAAAGCGGCUCUCUGGUCUGUAACUGACGCUGAGGUUCGAAAGCGUGGGUAGCAAACAGG
rnacentral:rRNA from 1 species